UGUCAGGAUUGCAGGAAUGCCUCGGUGUGAGGUGAACAAUGCAAGAAGCAACAAAAAGAAAAAGCAGUUUGAAGUGAUCUCCCUCAUCAUGCAGGGUGUCAACACAGAUCAGCAGGUACAGAAGAUUUUCUUGUAGAGAUGGUGCUGUGAUUAUUUCCAAGCCAAAUGCUAAAAACUCAGAAGAUUCAGUUAAACUUGAUUACCUACCUCAGUCUAUAGAAAGAGGGGACUACAAGGGCACCCAGGUUUUCGGCAUGGGAAGGACCUCCUGGCUGCUACAGAGCGGGGCAUCAGAUGGGCAAACCCUGCUGCAGGGAAGCUGGCAGUGCAAGGAGAGGCAGAGGGAGCAGCGUGGCACAGGUGCAAGUGCGCAGCAAGGGGCCAGCUCGGUGGGGUAGUCAGUGUGCGAUC
rnacentral:lncRNA from 1 species